UACANCGGGAAGCCACCUGGCGACAGGGCGCGGAACCCGAAAACCUGUCUCAGUUCGGAUUGGAGUCUGCAACCCGACUCCAUGAAGCUGGAUUCGCUAGUAAUCGCGCAUCAGCCACGGCGCGGUGAAUACGUUCCCGGGCCUUGUACACACCGCCCGUCAAGCCAUGGAAGCCGGGAGUGCCUGAAGUGCGUGACCGCAAGGAGCGUCCUAAGGCAAUACCGGUGACUGGGGCUAAGUCGUAACAAGGUACC
rnacentral:rRNA from 1 species